rnacentral:rRNA from 1 species
CCUACGGGUGGCAGCAGUGGGGAAUAUUGGACAAUGGGCGCAAGCCUGAUCCAGCAACGCCGCGUGGAGGAUGAAGGUCUUCGGAUCGUAAACUCCUGUCAGACGGGACGAAGGUAGCAGGGUAAACAAUCCUGCUGCUUGACGGUACCGUCAGAGGAAGCCCCGGCUAACUCCGUGCCAGCAGCCGCGGUAAUACGGAGGGGGCAAGCGUUAUUCGGAAUUAUUGGGCGUAAAGGGCGCGUAGGCGGCUAGAUGUGUCAAAGGUGAAAUCCCUC